rnacentral:rRNA from 1 species
AGUGAACGCUGGCGGUAGGCCUAACACAUGCAAGUCGAACGGCAGCACAGUAAGAGCUUGCUCUUACGGGUGGCGAGUGGCGGACGGGUGAGGAAUACAUCGGAAUCUACUUUUUCGUGGGGGAUAACGUAGGGAGACUUACGCUAAUACCGCAUACGACCUACGGGUGAAAGCAGGGGAUCUUCGGACCUUGCGCGAUUGAAUGAGCCGAUGUCGGAUUAGCUAGUUGGCGGGGUAAAGGCCCACCAAGGCGACGAUCCGUAGCUGGUCUGAGAGGAUGAUCAGCCACACUGGAACUGAGACACGGUCCAGACUCCUACGGGAGGCAGCAGUGGGGAAUAUUGGACAAUGGGCGCAAGCCUGAUCCUGCCAUACCGCGUGGGUGAAGAAGGCCUUCGGGUUGUAAAGCCCUUUUGUUGGGAAAGAAAAGCAGCAGGUUAAUACCCCGCUGUUCUGACGGUACCCAAAGAAUAAGCACCGGCUAACUUCGUG